rnacentral:rRNA from 1 species
AUGCAUCUAGAUUAGAGUUUGAUCCUGGCUCAGGAUGAACGCUAGCGGCAGGCCUAACACAUGCAAGUCGAGGGGUAGAAUUAGCUUGCUAAUUUGAGACCGGCGCACGGGUGCGUAACGCGUAUGCAAUCUACCUUGUACAGAGGGAUAGCCCAGAGAAAUUUGGAUUAAUACCUCAUAGUAUUUUCAAGUGGCAUCAUUUGAUUAUUAAAGUUCCAACGGUACAAGAUGAGCAUGCGUCCUAUUAGCUAGAUGGUAAGGUAACGGCUUACCAUGGCUACGAUAGGUAGGGGUCCUGAGAGGGAGAUCCCCCACACUGGUACUGAGACACGGACCAGACUCCUACGGGAGGCAGCAGUGAGGAAUAUUGGUCAAUGGGCGCAAGCCUGAACCAGCCAUGCCGCGUGCAGGAAGACGGUCCUAUGGAUUGUAAACUGCUUUUGUACGGGAAGAAACACUCCCUCGUGAGGGAGCUUGACGGUACCGUAAGAAUAAGGAUCGGCUAACUCCGUGCCAGCAGCCGCGGUAAUACGGAGGAUCCAAGCGUUAUCCGGAAUCAUUGGGUUUAAAGGGUCCGUAGGCGGUUUUGUAAGUCAGUGGUGAAAGCCCGCAGCUCAACUGUGGAACGGCCAUUGAUACUGCAAGACUUGAAUUACAAGGAAGUAACUAGAAUAUGUAGUGUAGCCGUGAAAUGCUUAGAUAUUACAUGGAAUACCAAUUGCGAAGGCAGGUUACUACUUGUGGAUUGACGCUGAUGGACGAAAGCGUGGGGAGCGAACAGGAUUAGAUACCCUGGUAGUCCACGCCGUAAACGAUGGAUACUAGCUGUUCGGAGCAAUCUGAGUGGCUAAGCGAAAGUGAUAAGUAUCCCACCUGGGGAGUAGUUCGCAGAAUGAAACUCAAAGGAAUUGACGGGGCCCGCACAGCGUGGAGCAUGU